AAAAAAAGAACGAGAAAAAAAAAAAAGAGGAGAGAGAAAAAGUAAUAAGGGUAUUUUGGUCAGUUUGUUGAAAUUUCAGACAGAAUCUGCAAAAUCGAAAAAUACGACCCAAUUUUGCAAAAGCCCAAAACUAGUGAAUUUUUUAUGCAAAAAGGCCUAUAUAUAAUUUAUAAUAUAAUAUUUUAAAUAAUAAUUUAUUUUAUAUAAUUUAUCCAUAAUAUUUGUAAUAAAUAAAAUAUAAAAAAAACUUCAAAUACCACUCCUGUGAUUUCAUGCUUUCUCACUUUAGUAUCCUAUAUUUUAAAAUAUAUAACUUAGUAUUUUGUGGUUUUAUUUUUUUCUUUCCAUUAUUUUUUCUGUUGAUUUUUCCAUUAUAUCAUUGAUAAAAUUAAAACCAUAGAAUAUUAAAGUAAAAAUUCGGUAAACCACAAUAUACUAUAGUGAAUAUUCAAUAAAGCAUAUGUGGGGUAUUUGAAGUUUUUUUGUAUAUGAUUUAAUGGAGAGUUAAUGAAUAUGCUGACGGAAAGAAAAAAAAAAAUACACGAUACUAAAGUGAUAUUCUUUAAACUAUAAAAUGCUAAAGUAAAAAAGUACGAAAUUAUAGUAGUGAUAUUUGAAGUUUACACUAAAAUAUAAUACUAAACUCAG
rnacentral:lncRNA from 1 species